rnacentral:rRNA from 1 species
AGAUACCCUGGUAGUCCACGCCCUAAAACGAUGUACACUAGUUGUUGCUAUGCUAGACAUAGCAGUAAUGCAGUUAACACAUUAAGUGUACCGCCUGGGGAGUACGGUCGCAAGAUUAAAACUCAAAGGAAUAGACGGGGACCCGCACAAGCGGUGGAGCAUGUGGUUUAAUUCGACGAUACGCGAAGAACCUUACCUGGACUUGACAUAGUAAGAACUUUCUAGAGAUAGAAUGGUGUCUGCGUGCAGAAACUUAUAUACAGGUGCUGCACGGCUGUCGUCAGCUCGUGUCGUGAGAUGUUGGGUUAAGUCCCGCAACGAGCGCAACCCUCGUCGUUAGUUGCUAACAGUUCGGCUGAGAACUCUAACGAGACUGCCUGGGUAACCAGGAGGAAGGUGAGGACGACGUCAAGUCAUCAUGGCCCUUACGUCCAGGGCUACACACGUGCUACAAUGGGGUAUACAAAGAGCAGCGAUACGGUGACGUGGAGCAAAUCUCAAAAAUAUCUCCCAGUUCGGAUAGUAGUCUGCAACUCGACUACUUGAAGUUGGAAUCGCUAGUAAUCGUAGAUCAGCAAUGCUACGGUGAAUACGUUCCCGGGUCUUGUACUCACCGCCCGUCACACCAUGGGAGUUGAAUUCAUUCGAAGCGGGGAUGCUAAAGUAGCUACCUUCCACAGUGGAUUCAGCGACUGGGGNNAAGUCGUAACAAGGUACCCG